rnacentral:tRNA from 1 species
AGGAAGGUGGCUCAAUGGUAGAGUGCUUGCCUUGCAUGCAUGAGGCCCUGGGUUAGUUUCCUUUUUUUA